rnacentral:lncRNA from 10 species
GAGUCGGAGCUCGGCAGGAAGUGGGACCGGUGUCUGGCGGAUGCGGUCGUGAAGAUAGAGAUGGGGUUUCACCAUGUUGCCCAGGCUGGUCUUGAACUCAGGGUCCAAACGAUCCACCUACCUUGGCCUCCCAACGUGCCAGGAUUACAGGCAUGAGCCACCACACCUGGUCCAUCUUGAUAAUUUCAUACUCUGGCUUGGCAAAGACUGAAGGGAAGCCAUGGUGAAUGCACAGCAACUUCUGUGAGUCCUUCUCUGUUUGGUUGUCUUAUACCUAAAGUGUUUUGCUUCCAGGGUUCACCAGGGUUAUUUUCCCACCUGUUUGCUGUACGAUGACUAUUAUAAUCACUCGUGUUUAGCAUAGGUGUUGUAUAGCUGAGUUAAAUAGCUUUCUUAAGCCUGUACUUUAGGCAGUGGUCCUUUAAAAAAGUAAUCUUCAAGGAUCUUUUCACCCUGAGGCUUGAAUAAUAUCUUAAUAGAAAAUUAUCAUAUGAUUUUGUCCUGUAGGAAGAGGCAUUUAUUUAUAAAUACCCUUGCCCCCAUUACUAUCUUAAGAAAAGCAGUUCUAGGCCAGGC